UACGGAGGGUGCUAGCGUUGUUCGGAAUUACUGGGCGUACAGCGCGCGUAGGCGGACCUGCAAGUCGGGGGUGAAAGCCCGAGGCUCAACCUCGGAACUGCCUUCGAUACUGCGGGUCUCGAGUCCGGGAGAGGUGAGUGGAAUUCCGAGUGUAGAGGUGAAAUUCGUAGAUAUUCGGAAGAACACCAGUGGCGAAGGCGGCUCACUGGACGACUGUUGACGCUGAGGUGCGAAAGCGUGGGGAGCAAACAGG
rnacentral:rRNA from 1 species